AAACCAGCUUGUCAAGGGAGCAGGCAUCUUUACAGCCCUUACCAUUCCGUACAGGAGAGUAAUAUGCCUUUUAAAGUUUGGAAAAGAUAGAACUCCGAGAGGACUUUGAAAACUUGGCGAUAAAAGUGGGGCCCUUUGUGCAAAGCUAGUGACGGGCAAAUUAUGGGCGUGUUUGGGGGGGUUUCAAGAGAACGGGUAUGUAAAAAUGUUGAGUUCAGGACCACAGACCCCUCCGCCGGGAGAUACCACUGCGGAGACGGGGGACGCCUGAAAUGGUACGGACAUCCCUGGUACCUAUUACCGGGGAAAAAGGAUGCAGAGCCGGUGAUAAUACAUUCCUCCACCGGUCAGUAUCAGUGGGGAGAUGGGGAGAACGUGUGGAGCUGGUACUCCUCUCAAGAAAAUAACAGUAGGGAGAUAGAUACUAUUAAGCUAGCGGUGGCGAAGGCUCAGGUUGGUACAGUCCGUUGUGGGAGAUACCACUGGUGCAAAUAGGGAGGUGUGGUACAAUCUGCCCACGGAGAAAGAAACGUGAAGAAAGUGACAUUGGUAAACAUAGGCGCAGGGAGAGUUGGAGACAUAAGCCCAGGGAUAAAGGGGCCCAGGUGAGGUGGAAUAUUAGUCGGAGACUAGGUGAGAAGACAGAUCUGAUCGCGACCCCGCCAGGACUACAUUCCAUCCUCCUCCUGGGAAACUGUUGCAGAGAGAUUUGAGAGGGCGGAGAUUCCAGGGUCCCAGUCCUAUGAGGCCUCCCUGAGGCCUAGGGGAAUAAACAGGAGACAGACAGUGAUCAGGUUCCGGACCUCAAACACUCUCCCCUAUUAAUCAUAUUCUACCAAUUGAUCACCUGAAAGAAAAUGCACAGAGGUGAUGUGAAAACACAGUAAGAAGGCAGUUGUCUGCAAGCCUUAUGGCUUUCUUUAUAGAGAACCCUCACCAGGAACCAAAUCAGCUGGCCCCUUCAUCUUGGACUUCUCCCAGCCUCCAGAACUAUGCCAAAUAAACUUCUGGUUUAACCCGUCCAGUCUGUGGCAUUUUAUUAUGGCAGCCCAAGCAGGUAAUCCAGGGACUUUUGCAGUUAGCCCUUUGCUGGAACCCCAAAGGGAGCCAGGGGCUGUGAGAAUUUUGUAACCAUGACUGCUUUCCAGGAGCACAGGACCCACUCAGAUAUAAAGUAACAGCAUCACUCCCCUUCCAGCUCACUCUGCCCCUCAUGGCUCCUACUCCUUCCCACUCUACCAAUCAUUAACAUGUAUUCUCUCCCACGGUGCCCCCAAUUUCCCGCCAUUCAGUCACACUGCCAUUUUCUUUCAUUCAUUCUGCUUCAUGGCCACCAUUCACGCAUCUUGUACCCCAUAUAAACACCUUUCUUUUUAUUGUGGUAAAAUACACAUAACAUGAAACUUACUAUUUUAACUAUUUUACAUUGCAC
rnacentral:lncRNA from 10 species